rnacentral:rRNA from 1 species
AUUGAACGCUGGCGGCAUGCCUUACACAUGCAAGUCGAACGGCAGCGGGCCUUCGGGUGCCGGCGAGUGGCGAACGGGUGAGUAAUGCAUCGGAACGUGCCAUUGAGUGGGGGGAUAACGUAGCGAAAGUUACGCUAAUACCGCAUAUUCUGUGAGCAGGAAAGCAGGGGACCGCAAGGCCUUGCGCUCUUUGAGCGGCCGAUGUCAGAUUAGCUAGUUGGUGAGGUAAAGGCUUACCAAGGCGACGAUCUGUAGCGGGUCUGAGAGGAUGAUCCGCCACACUGGAACUGAGACACGGUCCAGACUCCUACGGGAGGACAGCAGUGGGGAAUUUUGGACAAUGGCGCAAGCCUGAUCCAGCCAUGCCGCGUGAGUGAAG